UAUGAUCCAGAGUACCACGGGACACGUGAAACCCUGUGGGAAGCAGGAGGGACCACCCUCCAAGGCUAAAUACUACCUAGUGACCGAUAGCGUAUAGUACCGUGAGGGAAAGGUGAAAAGAACCCCGGGAGGGGAGUGAAAUAGAACCUGAAACCCUGCACUUACAAGCUGUGGAAGCACAUUUCUUGUGUGACCGCGUACUUUUUGUAGAACGGGCCAACGAGUUACGUUAAGUAGCAAGGUUAAGCACUUAAGGUGUGGAGCCGUAGCGAAAGCGAGUUUUAACUGAGCGUUCAGUUACUUGACGUAGACCCGAAACCGGGCGACCUACCCAUGAGCAGGAUGAAGCGAAAGUAAAAUUUCGUGGAGGUCCGAACCCACGAGCGUUGAAAAGCUCGGGGAUGACUUGUGGGUAGCGGUGAAAUUCCAAUCGAGCCCGGAGAUAGCUGGUUCUCCCCGAAAUAGCUUUAGGGCUAGCCUCAAGGUGAGAGAUACGGAGGUAGAGCACUGAAUGUCCUAGGGGGUAUUGCACCUACCGAAGACUAUCAAACUCCGAAUGCCGUCAUCUUAUACUUGGGAGUCAGACUGUGGGUGAUAAGAUUCAUAGUCGAAAGGGCAACAGCCCAGAUCGUCAGCUAAGGUCCCUAAAUGUAAGUUAAGUGGUAAAGGAUGUGGGAUUGCACAGACAACCAGGAUGUUGGCUUAGAAGCAGCCACUCAUUCAAAGAGUGCGUAAUAGCUCACUGGUCGAGUGAUCCUGCGCCGAAGAUUUCCGGGGCUAAAACUUACUACCGAAGCUACGGCAUCAGUAAUGAUGGGUAGGGGAGCUUCCCAUACGGGUUGAAGCAUGACCGUAAGGACAUGUGGACAGUAUGGGAGUGAGAAUGUUGGCAUGAGUAGCGAGAUGUGGGUGAGAAUCCCACAGGCCGUAAACCCAAGGUUUCCAGGGGAAGGUUCGUCCGCCCUGGGUUAGUCGGGACCUAAGCUGAGGCCGAAAGGCGUAGGUGAUGGACAACAGGUUGAUAUUCCUGUACUACCGAUAACCGUUUGAGAGAAGGGAUGACACAGUAGGAUAAGCUAAGCACACUGUUGGUUAUGUGUGCCCAAGCAUUGAGGCAGUCAAAGUAGGCAAAUCCGCUUUGAUAAUGCUGGGAUGUGAUGGGGAGCGAAAUUUAGUAGCGAAGUAGCUGAUUUCACACUGUCAAGAAAAGUCUCUAUCGAGGUUAAAGGUACCCGUACCGCAAACCGACACAGGGGGG
rnacentral:rRNA from 1 species